rnacentral:rRNA from 1 species
GACGUAGGGGGCGAGCGUUGUCCGGAUUUAUUGGGCGUAAAGCGCGCGUAGGCGGCCGCGCAAGUCGGAUGUGAAAUCCCCGGGCUUAACCUGGGAACUGCGUUUGAAACUGGAAGGCUAGAGUGUGGCGAGAGGGGGGUGGAAUUCCACGGUGUAAGCGUGAAAUGCGUAGAUAUGUGGAGGAACACCGAUGGCGAAGGCAGCCCCCUGGGCUAACACUGACGCUCAUGCACGAAGCGUGGGGAGCAACAGG